AACGAACAAAUUUGGAGACUUCUGGACACGAUCCAAGGCCCUUGACGAAAUCAGCCUGUUUGCUGUCUUCUUCGUCAGCCUUUCGUUCCAGAUGAAGAACACCUCUAAAAUUAUCUCUAAAAAUUCCAAGAUCUGAUACUCAACUAGAUCAGACCUGGACUGAGGUCUUUCAAUUCAUAGAUCUCAAAUCAGGACAUUCUAGAUAGGGAAGAAGGUAGAUGGAAAU
rnacentral:lncRNA from 1 species